rnacentral:rRNA from 1 species
AUUGAACGCUGGCGGCAGGCCUAACACAUGCAAGUCGAACGGUAACAGGGAUCCGCUUGCUGCUUCGCUGACGAGUGGCGGACGGGUGAGUAAUGUCUGGGAAACUGCCCGAUGGAGGGGGAUAACUACUGGAAACGGUAGCUAAUACCGCAUAACGUCGCAAGACCAAGAGGGGGACCUUCGGGCCUCUUGCCAUCGGAUGUGCCCAGAUGGGAUUAGCUAGUAGGUGGGGUAACGGCUCACCUAGGCGACGAUCCCUAGCUGGUCUGAGAGGAUGACCAGCCACACUGGAACUGAGACACGGUCCAGACUCCUACGGGAGGCAGCAGUGGGGAAUAUUGCACGAUGGGCGCAAGCCUGAUGCAGCCAUGCCGCGUGUAUGAAGAAGGCCUUCGGGUUGUAAAGUACUUUCGGCGGGGAGGAAGGGAGUAAAGUUAAUACCUUUGCUCAUUGACGUUACCCGCAGAAGAAGCACCGGCUAACUCCGUG